GAAUUUAUUACUGUUAUCUCCAUUUGAGUUCUAGCUGCUCUUUUUAUGUGAUGGAGGUGAAUCUUCUGCCUAUCAUGAAGCAGAAUCUGAAACUUUCUGAGGAGAGCAUUUGAGCUUCAGAUUUCUAACAGUCUGUGUGCCCAGCUGAGUUUGUUGAAAGCCUUGGUCCCUGAAGUCCUAAACUACAUGCAAGAAAGCUAUAGAGGAAGGAGUUGGGGAUCAGAGGCCGCACACGUUAAGACUGCAAGCUAUCCAAGAUAAAUUGAGUUCUCAUCUGGUCAAUAUUCAUGUCAGCCUUAGGAUCAGUUAUUCCUUCAUUCCAAGAGUGCUUAUUAUCAGCUACCAUAUUAACCCACCAGUGAUAAGACUUGAGGAUAUAAGAGGUCCAGAUAAAAAUGGAUAGGGAUAUGAG
rnacentral:lncRNA from 1 species